rnacentral:rRNA from 1 species
UACGUAGGGUGCAAGCGUUAAUCGGAAUUACUGGGCGUAAAGCGUGCGCAGGCGGUUUUGUAAGUCUGUCGUGAAAUCCCCGGGCUCAAACUGGGAAUUGCGAUGGAGACUGCAAGGCUAGAAUCUGGCAGAGGGGGGUAGAAUUCCACGUGUAGCAGUGAAAUGCGUAGAGAUGUGGAGGAACACCGAUGGCGAAGGCAGCCCCCUGGGUCAAGAUUGACGCUCAUGCACGAAAGCGUGGGGAGCAAACAGG